AAUCAGAGAAAAAUCAGAGUCAUUAAGACACUCCGCACAUGUGUCGAAUUUACUUGAAAGUGAUUCGAAGUCGUCUUGUGACAACAUCAGUAUGCUUCGUGCUGUAUACAGUAACACAUGCAAACAGCUUCUUUACGAUAUAGUUAUUCCUAAGGUAGUACUGCAGCGACCCAUUUCUGUGACUUGUGCUUGUCACAAUAAAUAUGAACCUCGGAGUGCUGAAGAUGAACGGAAUGCUAAAAAAGGAACAGCGUACGAUCCAGCUGAUGCAGAAACAAGUAAACGGUACCUAGCGAGUAAAGGUAGGUACAAACCUAGGAGAACGUCAGGACAUUACCUAGCGAGUAAAGGUAGGUACAAACCUAGGACAACGUCGGGACAUUACCUAGCGAGUAAAGGUAGGUAAAAACCUAGGAGAACAUCGGGACAUUACCUAGCGAGUAAAGGUAGGUACAAACCUAGGAGAACGUCGGGACAUUACCUAGCGAGUAAAGGUAGGUACAAACCUAGGACAACGUCAGGACAUUACCUAGCGAGUAAAGGUAGGUACAAACCUAGGACAACGUCAGGACAUUACCUAGCGAGUAAAGGUAGGUACAAA